UACGUAGGGGGCUAGCGUUGUCCGGAUUUAUUGGGCGUAAAGAGCGUGUAGGCGGCCUGGUAGGUCUGCUGUGAAAACUCGAGGCUCAACCUCGAGAUGUCGGCGGAAACCAUCUGGCUAGAGUCCGGAAGAGGAGAGUGGAAUUCCCAGUGUAGAGGUGAAAUUCGUAGAUAUUGGGAGGAACACCGAUUGCGAAGGCAGCUCGCUGGGACGUUACUGACGCUGAGACGCGAAAGCGUGGGGAGCAAACAGG
rnacentral:rRNA from 1 species